GUGCCAGCAGCCGCGGUAAUACGGAAGGUCCGGGCGUUAUCCGGAUUUAUUGGGUUUAAAGGGAGCGCAGGCCGGAGAUUAAGCGUGACGUGAAAUGCCGCGGCUCAACCGUGGAAGUGCGUCGCGAACUGGUUUUCUUGAGUGUGCACGAGGAAGCGGAAUUCGUGGUGUAGCGGUGAAAUGCUUAGAUAUCACGAAGAACCCCGAUUGCGAAGCAGCCUUCCAGGCAUUACUGACGCUAAGGCUCGAAGGUGCGGGUAUCGAACAGGAUUAGAUACCCUGGUAGUCCGCACGGUAAACGAUGGAUGCCCGCUGUAUGCGAUACAUUGUAUGCGGCCAAGCGAAAGCGUUAAGCAUCCCACCUGGGGAGUACGCCGGCAACGGUGAAACUCAAAGGAAUUGACGGGGGCCCGCACAAGCGGAGGAACAUGUGGUUUAAUUCGAUGAUACGCGAGGAACCUUACCCGGGCUUGAACUGCAGAGGAAGGAUUGAGAGAUCAUGACGCCCCUCGGGGCCUCUGUGGAGGUGCUGCAUGGUUGUCGUCAGCUCGUGCCGUGAGGUGUCGGCUUAAGUGCCAUAACGAGCGCAACCCCUUUCGUCAGUUGCCAUCAGGUGAUGCUGGGCACUCUGGCGACACUGCCACCGCAAGGUGCGAGGAAGGUGGGGAUGACGUCAAAUCAGCACGGCCCUUACGUCCGGGGCUACACACGUGUUACAAUGGGUGGUACAGAGAGAUGGUGCUCCGCAAGGCGCAUUGAAUCAUGAAAGCCAUCCCCAGUUCGGAUUGGGGUCUGCAACCCGACCCCAUGAAGCUGGAUUCGCUAGUAAUCGCGCAUCAGCCAUGGCGCGGUGAAUACGUUCCCGGGCCUUGUACACACCGCCCGU
rnacentral:rRNA from 1 species